rnacentral:rRNA from 1 species
UCAGGAUGAACGCUAGCUACAGGCUUAACACAUGCAAGUCGAGGGGCAGCACAGUGUAGCAAUACACGGGUGGCGACCGGCGCACGGGUGCGUAACGCGUAUCCAACUUUCCCGUUACUCUCGGAUAGCCUUCCGAAAGGGAGAUUAAUACGAGAUGGUGUUCAGUUUCCGCAUGUUUGCCGAACUAAAGAUUCAUCGGUAACGGAUAGGGAUGCGUGACAUUAGGUAGUUGGUGAGGUAACGGCUCACCAAGCCCGCGAUGGAUAGGGGGUUCUGAGAGGAAGGUCCCCCACACUGGAACUGAGACACGGUCCAGACUCCUACGGGAGGCAGCAGUGAGGAAUAUUGGUCAAUGGUCGGAAGACUGAACCAGCCAAGUAGCGUGAGGGACGACUGCCCUAUGGGUUGUAAACCUCUUUUAUAUGGGAAUAAAAAGGUCUACGUGUAGGCCAUUGUAUGUACCUUAUGAAUAAGCAUCGGCUAAUUCCGUG